rnacentral:misc_RNA from 1 species
AAGUCGUAACAAGGUUUCCGUAGGUGAACCUGCGGAAGGAUCAUUAACACGUAUCCAACGUUAAACCCCCCGUGAACCUUCAUUGUGCUCCCCCAUUCCGUUAGGACGCGGCAAUCCCUGGUAAAUCAUCGCCGAACAGUUUUGAUUCAGGGACCUCUGCAUGGAGUGGGCAGCAGCGCGAGGCAAGUGGCCUGGCAUUCGAAAGAAUGGCGCAGUAACGAUCGCUAGAGGCCGACACGGCCGGCGACCGGGUCACUGGGCUCAUCACCUUUGCAUGAAAACGGGCCUGCGCUUAAUUGUGCGGCCACCAAACUCGAACAACUGUUAACAAUGGAUAUCUUGGUUCUC